UGCGUCUGUAGGGACAGCCGGCCUGGGGGUGGCAGGCAUGGCCCUGCUUCCCUCCCAUUGCCCCACCUAUGGGAAGCUGCCCUGCCCUGGCAUCCAGACAGCCCCUGGCAGCCCCUGGGGUGGGAAGCCGUGGGCAAGUUCUGCAGACCCUCCACCACGCAUGCUGACCAGGGACUUCUCCCCUUCGGACAGGGUGGCUGGUGGUCCUUUCCGAUUCCACAGGGGCAAGAGCAACUGGGUGCCCAGGCUCGGGACACAAGACUGCAGAGCCAGGUGCCACACAGGUGUGGGGCCCGUGGACCAAGGAAGACCCUGGCCAGUUGGAGGAGAACUGCCAGGUAGCAAAGCCCAGACUUCUCUGGGGUCCUGCGCUCUGGGCUGCAAUGAGCUCUGCCUCCAGUGAGCCUGGCAAUGGGGACGCCUCCCAACAGCCCCUACUGGGGCUGGACACCGUGAUCCAGCUGCUCUCCCCUCCUUUGGAAGCCCCCCAGCAACCUCUGCACAGCACCCCAGAAUGCCCCCACCCUGGAGCUGGAAUUGGAUGUAAAGGGGCAGGCUUGGAAACUCUCAACCUCUGUCCCUGGGGUGAGCAAGUCGGACUUGGGGAGUGCAAAGCCCCCUGAAAUUGCCCGUGAAGUGGGGGGUAUCUGUGACUGCCUUGAGGGGUGGGGGUGUGCCCUUCCUCGGAAUCUCCAGCACCCAGACCCGCAGCUGAUGGAGAAGCAUGGCGCAGAGUCCCGGACGAGGAACCCAGCACAGAAAGCCCAGUCCCCUCAGAGCUGGGGGCUCCUCAGACUCCCGUUCCUUGGCUUGAAUUUUGAUUUGUGCUAUUUUUCUAGGAAAUUGUCCAUUACAUCCAAAUUUUCAAGUUGUUGAAAUUGGCAAAAGUUGUUCACAAUAUCUUCUUCCUGUCUUUUGGAUGUCUGCAGGAUCCGUGGGGUAACCAGCUGUCCCUCUUUGCUGAGGGGCUCGAGACAGGGGUUUCCCAGGACUCCAGACAGCCUUGGGUCUGGAACCCCAG
rnacentral:lncRNA from 10 species